CAUGGAGAGUUUGAUCCUGGCUCAGGACGAACGCUGGCGGCGGGCUUAACACAUGCAAGUCGCGGGAGAAGUUGCCCUUCGGGGCAACGGAGACCGGCGGAUGGGUGAGUAACGCGUAGGUAAUCUGCCGUUAGGACUGGGAUAACCCACCGAAAGGUGAGCUAAUACCGGAUGAUGCAGCG
rnacentral:rRNA from 1 species